UGGGGAAUCUUGCACAAUGGGCGAAAGCCUGAUGCAGCGACGCCGCGUGCGGGAUGAAGGCCUUCGGGUUGUAAACCGCUUUCAGCAGGGACGAGGCCGCAAGGUGACGGUACCUGCAGAAGAAGCCCCGGCUAACUACGUGCCAGCAGCCGCGGUAAUACGUAGGGGGCAAGCGUUAUCCGGAUUCAUUGGGCGUAAUGCGCGCGUAGGCGGUUUGUUAGGUCAGGAGUUAAAUCUGGGGGCUCAACCCCUAUCCGCUCCUGAUACCGGCAGGCUUGAGUCUGGUAGGGGAAGGCGGAAUUCCAAGUGUAGCGGUGAAAUGCGCAGAUAUUUGGAAGAACACCGGUGGCGAAGGCGGCCUUCUGGGCCACGACUGACGCUGAGGCGCGAAAGCUAGGGGAGCGAACAGG
rnacentral:rRNA from 1 species